rnacentral:tRNA from 1 species
GCCCCCGUAGUUUAAUGGAUAGAACCGCGGGUUCCUAACCUGCUAAUGGUCGUUCGAUUCGGCCCGGGGGCA